rnacentral:rRNA from 1 species
AUUGAACGCUGGCGGUAUGCUUAACACAUGCAAGUCGAACGGUAGCAGGCCUUCGGGCGCUGACGAGUGGCGGACGGGUGAGUAAUGCAUAGGAAUCUGCCAAUUAGUGGGGGAUAACGUGGGGAAACUCACGCUAAUACCGCAUACGCCCUACGGGGGAAAGCUGGGGACUUUCGGGCCUGGCGCUACUUGAUGAGCCUAUGUUGGAUUAGCUAGUUGGUAGGGUAAAGGCCUACCAAGGCGACGAUCCAUAGCUGGUCUGAGAGGAUGAUCAGCCACACUGGGACUGAGACACGGCCCAGACUCCUACGGGAGGCAGCAGUGGGGAAUAUUGGACAAUGGGCGAAAGCCUGAUCCAGCAAUACCGCGUGUGUGAAGAAGGCCUGAGGGUUGUAAAGCACUUUCAAUAGGAAGGAAUACCUACCGGUUAAUACCCGGUAGACUGACAUUACCUAUACAAGAAGCACCGGCUAACUCCGUGCCAGCCGCCGCGGUAAUAC